rnacentral:rRNA from 1 species
GCGGUGUGGGAUGGGCCCGCGGCCUAUCAGCUUGUUGGUGGGGUAAUGGCAUACCAAGGCGAGGAGGGGUACCCGGCCUGAGAGGGUGACCGGCCACACCGGGAUUGAGAUACGGCCCAGACUCGUACGGGAGGCAGCAGUGCGGAAUAUUGCACAAUGGGAGCAAGCCUGAUGUAGCGACGCCGCGUGAGGGAAGACGGCCUUCGGGUUGUAAACCUCUUUCAAUAGGGACGAAGCGCAAGUGACGGUACCUAUAGAAGAAGGACCGGCCAACUACGUGCCAGCAGCCGCGGUAAUACGUAGGGUCCGAGCGUUGUCCGGAAUUACUGGGCGUAAAGAGCUCGUAGGUGGUUUGUCGCGUUGUUCGUGAAAACUCACAGCUUAACUGUGGGCGUGCGGGCGAUACGGGCAGUCUAGAGUACUGCAGGGGAGACUGGAAUUCCUGGUGUAGCGGUGGAAUGCGCAGAUAUCAGGAGGAACACCGGUGGCGAAGGCGGGUAUCUGGGCAGUAACUGACGCUGAGGAGCGAAAG